CUGAAUCCCUACUCCAUGCCAGACUCUGUGCUGGGGACUAGGGGUGCAGUAGUAAACAAUGCAGACAGGGCUCCUGUCCUUGCGGAGAUGAUGUCCACUAGGAGACUGACAUUACAAACCGAGACAAAGGUGUAAGUAGGCUGUGGCUACUGUGCCUGAAGGAUAAACUGGCCCUGCCUGCAGCUCGGCUUUACUACCAGGUAAUGCAAAAUACAAGGCUGCCAAGCAUAUGUUUCAAAAAGAGAUGCCAGAUAUCAGUGGAGGAAGAUGUCAUGGAAGACUUGAGAGGGAGACGGCACUUGAUCAGAGCCUUGGAGGGGGGAGGAAACAGAGUUUUGGAGCUCUUACAUGGCAUACCUGGCCAAGGCUAAAUGAUGAGGCCCAAAUAAUUAUGCCAGUCAUUCAAGGUCUCACAAUGAAGAAGCAGCAGAGCUGAGAUUCCAAUUCAAGCCUGACUCCUGAGCCCAUGAUCUUAACCAGCCCAUGGGCCAGAUCCUCUCUACUGCCUGUUUUGAUAAAUAAAGUUUUAUUGG